rnacentral:sRNA from 1 species
CCCUAGCCCUGAUGGAAGUGGAAAUCCUUUUUGCCAUUGAUGAGAUUUCUCGCUACCCUCGAAAUGCAAAGGCAAAAAGAUUGCAACGUACAGCAGGAAAUAGC